rnacentral:misc_RNA from 1 species
UUUCAUUUGUGUAGCAUCGCUUCUUGAUGUUAACGACGAUUAAAGUGCCCUUGCUUCAUGUUUGUUAUUUUGGAUUUGCAUAGAACAGUUUGGACUUAUGGAGACUGUUGUGUUUCUUGAUUUACUGUAUGCUUGACACUGUUAAGGCUCCUAAAUCAUGACUUUAAGUGGAUAAUUUAUGUAAUUGUAUUGUGUUUUAAGCC